CUGGAUUUACACUCUAAUCAUUUACAUUGAGAGUGGAAAAAAGCCAUAGACAGACCGGUUACGCUACUCACCUAAUUGAGGCUAAGAAAGAACCCGACAAAAUGACUAAAAUGGUGAUCACUUACAUUGGCUUCCUUCUCCUUGCCAUGCAGUUAUCACAAGUCUUUUCACAAAACAUUAGGCGUAGGCCUACAACAAGGUCCCCGGCGACGACUGUGAACACUACCAAAGUUGACGGCGGCGCGCGUUCCAAUAUGACCAAGGUACCCGAUGUUGUCACUACCACCAACAUCACCAUCCCCAAAGGAGCCUGCACGUCCUUGCAGUCCAGUGCGUUCACACUGCUCAUUCUCAUGGUAGCGGGCUUGCUCCUACAGGGCUGCUUAUAGAGGGUUCAUCUGCACUAAACGCACUGCKACGAAUAACAUCGGCGGCACACUUUUGUACGUUCUCGAAAGGCAGUGUACCUAAACAGAGUGAACACMUGGACGAGAACACCUUUCUACUGAUGGGAAUUAUUUGGAUCACACCUCCRGCGCCAUUUCAACCCAGUAUAGGCAGGCUUACUGGCCCUAUGGUGUGGUCCCCUCAAUGGCGGCAGGCCAUGAUGAGGAUGUACUAAACUCUGCUCUUUGACUCUGUUGGUUCCUGUGUCCAGACAGCAGGCUGUCGUUUUGUAACUUCUGAAGRUAAAUGUUGGCUGUGCCUGGGAAAUCAACUGCAUAUAAUGAAAUGUUGGUUGAGAUGCAYUCUGUAAUUAAUGUAACCUAUAUUUGUCUUAUCUCUGGCACUUGAGUCCUAGCUCCAACCUGGGCUUGAACUAGUGACCCUCUGAACACAACUGCCUCCCACUGUUAACAAGCUAGUCACUUCACACCUGUUACACUUGCUAUUUAUACUCCUGAUACUGCAAUGUAUACUUUGUCAAAGGCUUGAUGUACUCUUGUGAUUUGUAGAAUAGCUACAUUUUAUAGGUUAAGUUCUCAGCUUUUGAUUUUAACUUAAGCGGUGAUGUAACAUGCUUAGAUUUAUUUUGUAUUGCCAGAUUUAAUAAAGCUAUGACAUGUACAAUUAAUAUUCAA